rnacentral:rRNA from 1 species
UACGUAGGGUGCGAGCGUUAAUCGGAAUUACUGGGCGUAAAGCGUGCGCAGGCGGUUCGUUGUGUCGGUGGUGAAAGCCCCGGGCUUAACCUGGGAAUGGCCGUCGAAACUGGCGAACUGGAGUGUGGCAGAGGGGGGUGGAAUUCCGCGUGUAGCAGUGAAAUGCGUAGAGAUGCGGAGGAACACCGAUGGCGAAGGCAGCCCCUGGGCUGACACUGACGCCUCAGGCACGAAGCGUGGGAGCAA